UGGGGAAUUUUGGACAAUGGGCGCAAGCCUGAUCCAGCCAUGCCGCGUGCGGGAAGAAGGCCUUCGGGUUGUAAACCGCUUUUGUCAGGGAAGAAAUCUUCUGAGUUAAUACCUCGGGAGGAUGACGGUACCUGAAGAAUAAGCACCGGCUAACUACGUGCCAGCAGCCGCGGUAAUACGUAGGGUGCAAGCGUUAAUCGGAAUUACUGGGCGUAAAGCGUGCGCAGGCGGUUUUGUAAGACAGAGGUGAAAUCCCCGGGCUCAACCUGGGAACUGCCUUUGUGACUGCAAGGCUUGAGUGCGGCAGAGGGGGAAUGGAAUUCCGCGUGUAGCAUGAAAUGCGUAGAUAUGCGGAGGAACACCGAUGGCGAAGGCAAUCCCCUGGGCCUGCACUGACGCUCAUGC
rnacentral:rRNA from 1 species